GACGAACGCUGGCGGCGCGCUUAACACAUGCAAGUCGAACGGAAAGGCCUGCUUUCCCUUGUGGAUUGCGGGUACUCGAGUGGCGAACGGGUGAGUAACACGUGAGUGAUCUGCCCCCAACUUGGGUAUAAGCCUGGGAAACUGGGUCUAAUUCCCGAUAGGACUGCAGGGUGGUGCCUGUGGUGGAAAACGAUUUUCUAGUGGUUGGGGAUGAGCUCGCGGCCUAUCAGCUUGUUGGUGGGGUAGUGGCCUACCAAGGCGGCGACGGGUAGCCGGCCUGAGAGGGUGGACGGCCACAUUGGGACUGAGAUACGGCCCAGACUCCUACGGGAGGCAGCAGUGGGGAAUAUUGCACAAUGGGCGGAAGCCUGAUGCAGCGACGCCGCGUGGGGGAUGACGGCCUUCGGGUUGUAAACUCCUUUCGACCGCGAGGAAGCCACCUGGUUGGAAGGGUGGUGACGGUAGUGGUAGAAGAAGCACCGGCUAACUACGUG
rnacentral:rRNA from 1 species